GUCUUUUUGUUUAAAAUUUAAAGUCUGGUCUGCCCUCUGAUUAAAUUGAAUGGCCGCGGUAUUUUGACCGUGCUAAGGUAGCAUAAUCAUUAGUUUUUUAAUUGAAAGCUGGAAUGAAGGGCUGAAUGAAAAAAAGACUGUCUCUAAUUAAUUAUUUUAGAAUUUUAUUUUUAAGUUAAAAAGCUUAAAUUAUAUUAAAAGACGAGAAGACCCUAUAGAGUUUUAUAAUUUUAUAAUAUAAAAAAUUUAGCAUUAAUUUUUUUAUUUUUAUAUAAUUAUUUGAUUGGGGUGAUUAAAAAAUUAAAUUAACUUUUUUAUGUAAUUAUAUUAAUUAAUAAAUAAUUGAUCCAAAAAUUUUGAUUAUAAGAUAAAAUUACCUUAGGGAUAACAGCGUAAUUUUAUUAGAGAGUUCUAAUCGAUAAUAAAGUUUGCGACCUCGAUGUUGGAUUAAAAUUUAUAAUUGGUGUAGAAGCUAUAUUAUUAAGUCUGUUCGACUUUUAAAAUUUUACA
rnacentral:rRNA from 1 species